AUAUUACAUAUAUUUUAAAGUAGAAUCAUCUUCUUUUCAUUGUUUAUGUCUCUUGUAAAUUUUUGUGGCCGUAUUUCUAAGUCUGAUCUGUGUCACUUUUUAUUCUAUGUAUAAUAUAUUGUAUGUGGAUAAAUAAUAAUUUAACUCACACAUAUGUCCUUGCACAUCUGUCUGAUUGUCUUAUUAGUGUAUGUUGACAGAAAUAGAAUUGUUGGGUCAAAAGGAAUUGUCUGCUAAAUAGCUGUCUUGCUUUCUCCUUAACACUAGCAGUGUCUUAGUUACCAUGUGUAACCAUUUCUUACUUUUUACUUUAAAAAAAAAAAAGCUUUUAAAGUUUGAUAGGCAAGAAUAGCUAUUUUAGUCUAUUUUUAUUUUAUUUUAUUUUACUGUGUGUUUGUUUUAUUGCUUGGUGAGAUUGAACAUUUCCAGUACUUUUUAAAGUUUAUUUUGUGAGUGGUCUGUCUUGUGGGACUGUUAAUUUAUGUGUACUUUCACACACAGUGUAUUUUCUCAGUUCUUUCUACAUUGCUUUCUGUCAGUGAUCCAUCCGCAGGCUGUGUUCUGUGAAUGAGUAAUGGAGCUUGCUUACAAGUAACAGACAUUCUUAAACAACAAAACAAGUUAGGUUUUUUUAGAGGCUAAAAAUUACCUAUGCCCAAAAUUGUAGAAAGUAAUCCUCUGAUAGUGUGCUUUUUUUUAAAAACUGCAUUGUCUUAUUAGUGUACUAAUUUUAAGCGAUAAAAAAUACCAAGGUUCUUAGGAUAGUAGUUAAGAGUUGAUCUGAGCAGAAUUCAAUAAGUAUCAAUGCAGUAGGCCUACUGUAUAAAUAGAUAGUGUCUAAUUAUUAGAAGCAUUAACAUAGUCUAAGAACAUUCUGCAACUUAAGAUUUUUAUUUUUAAAGACAGAAUAUUGGCUUUUUUCUCAAUAUAUACAUUUAUAUACAUAAAUGGAUAAGAUAGUAUUUUUAGAAAACUAAUUUCAUUCAUCUUUAGAAAACUUUCGUUUACUUUUUUUUGAGCCAACUAUAAAAGAAACUAUUGUCUCAGUAAUUAAGAGCAUUGACUCUUUCCCGAGGACCCAGAUUUAUUCUCAACACCCAUAUGGCAGCUUACAAACAUCCAUAAAUAGAAUCCCAGGGAGCCAAAUACCUUUUUCUGGCCUCUGUGGUCACUGCAUGCUUGUAGUGUACAGAUUACAUGCAGGAAAAGGACUCACAUAGACAAAAAUAGGUUUAAAUAAAAGAAAUUAAAGUUGUCAGUUAGCCAGUCUUUAUAUAGUAGAACCAGUGUAGUUGAAGAAACAGUUGUAGUAAUGAAAAAGUGACCUAAAGGCAUUAUUGUUUCAUAGGUUUUGCACGAAUUUAGCAUCAAUCCAUUACAUUAUUUGCAAAGUUUGUUUUGUCAGCAUUUUUCAGCUUGUGUUUCUGCCACCAUAAGUAGAACAGGUAGUCGUUCUUAGAACUUGCUUAACUCUGGCCAGGUUUUGGAUUAAUUCUGUGUUGUCAUUGAAUUAUUGGGGGAUAUUUUUAGGCAGUCAGAAACAGAAAUUUCAAACUGUUUAUUACAUGGGGUUAUAUAGUGGGUAUAAUGUGUUCAGGAUGGGAACAUGAUUGCACUUGAAGGCCUCUUUCCCUUCCUUCAUAGGAUUGGCCGUGACAACAUAUGGUCUAUUUAGGUCUUCCUUGGGUCAGAUUUCUUUAGGUACUAACUUGGACUCCAGCAAGCUAAGCAUUUACCCUAAAUUGUGGUAUAGUAGUAUGCUACUUGAUUUUUUUCCCCUUAGGUGCAUGUCCCUUUGUUUUUGUUUUUGUUUUUCUGAGACAGGGUUUCUCUGUGUAGCCCUGGCUGUCCUGGAACUCACUUUGUAGACCAGGCUGGCCUCGAACUCAAAAAUCCGCCUGCCUCUGCCUCCCAAGUGCUGGGAUUAAAGGCAUGCGCCACCACACCCGGCACAUGUCCCAUUUUUAAUGACUAAUCUUCAUUUGGCAUACAAUUCAACAGAAAAAAACAAGUUCCCUACUGUUUUUCUCAGUGCUUUGAGAACCCGUGUUUGUUGCUGUUUAUUUGUCAGCCUUGUAUUUUGUUGGUGCUCACAGGCUAAAUUUUGCUAAGUUUGUAAAAUGACACCUUUGAGUUUAUAGAAUCCCAGUGUUUUACCCAAGGGGUAGCCUAGCAGAGGGAUGUGAAGUCAUGAGUGAACUGAGUUGGGUUUCCUGUGAAAUUGCUAUGGUGAGCGCAAUAUUUAUACCAAUAAAGACAUUGUUCUUUCUCUUAGGUCUACUUAAGAGCAAAGCAAAAUUUAAAAAGCUAACUAAUGGAAAGACUUGAGCAUUGAAAAUAAGCCAGAAAAAUACCUGUUUUUCUCAACUCAGCUCUUUAAAGAGACUUAGCAAUCGGGGGUGGACUGGAGCAGGAACUAGAAUGUGUUAGAUAUGACAUCCGUGCCCUGAGACAACAGCAUGAUUCCUCCUUGUCUUUGCUUAUGCUAUUCCUCUGCCUGGAAUGCCUUCCCUCCUUUCUAUCUAAAUCCUACCCACCUCCUCCACGAAGCCUUCUCUUACUACCGGAGCCCACAUUGAUGUCUCCCUGUUCAGAACACCUAUGGCAUCUAACAGCCAGCACUGCACCGUUUAGCACUGUUUGUCCUAUGGCAAUUUCACAUGCUACUGAGUGUGAGUACAUUAAAAUAUAAAUGUGGGGGAAUAUGCGUUUUUCCAGUGAAGUUUGAAAAACGAUAGGUAUAUUGUGUUGAGGACUUAGUGACUGUGGAAAGUUUACAGGCUACACUAGACUGAGUUGAGGGAGGAGGGGAGUUGGGGGAGGGGUUAAAGGUAGCUUUUUUUUUUUUCCUUUUUUUGGUUAAAUCUUAGAGAAACACUGUAAAGUUUUAAUGGUGUAGUUUUGAUAAUUAUGUCCAAAAAGUCAUGGUUUAAAAAGAAUAAUUUAGUAACAAUCCAAUUUUUGUUUUCAAGAAAUGUUUUUGUAGUGUUUAAUGCUAUCGAAAUACAGUUUCUGGAUUCAAAAAGUUUCUUCUUUCUUAAACUAAGAUGACUCUGUUCACUCAUCUAAGAACGGCUCCCAAACUGUCCUUUGUAUCAAAUACUUAAGUGUAUUGUAAACUUAUCCUCUGUGGAGAAAAUGAUAUUUUGUUAUAUUUUUUGUGAAUAAUUUUGGGUGUCUGCAUGGUUUCUGGGGGAAGAUUUUAACAGUAAAGACAAUUUUGAUUUGUAUUUGUUGUGUGGGAUACUAGGAAAGUUAACUUAGCUUUAGCUAAUUUUUAAAAAUAUGGAUCUCCAAAUCAGUGUAUGCCAGGGUGUGACCGUUCGAGUACUUAUAUAUUCUUAAAUUAUGUUAAUUUAAAAACCUAACUGUCUAUCUACCUUCUAAUUGUACCUGUGAUGAGUUUUUGUAUAUUAUUCUUUGGAUAAUAAAUUAUUAAAAUUAUAUCUGACAUCAUGACUUUG
rnacentral:lncRNA from 1 species